AACGAACGCUGGCGGCAUGCCUAACACAUGCAAGUCGAACGAGACCUUCGGGUCUAGUGGCGCACGGGUGCGUAACGCGUGGGAACCUGCCCUUAGGUUCGGAAUAACUCCCCGAAAGGGGUGCUAAUACCGGAUAAUGUCUUCGGACCAAUGAUUUAUCGCCUUUGGAUGGGCCCGCGUUGGAUUAGCUAGUUGGUAGGGUAAAAGCCUACCAAGGCGACGAUCCAGAGGUGGUCCGAGAGGAUGAUCAGCCACACUGGGACUGAGUCAAGGCCCAGACUGCUGCGGGAGGGGGCGGUGGAGAAGAGUAGAAAAAAGGGCAAAGCCUAAUCCAACCAUGCCGCGUGAGUGAUGAAGGCCUUAGGGUUGUAAAGCUCUUUUACCCGGGAUGAUAAUGACAGUACCGGGAGAAUAAGCUCCGGCUAACUCCGUG
rnacentral:rRNA from 1 species